CAGUUUACACAAAUCUUUAUCUCAAGAAGAAAAUCUGAAGGAUCAGUUUAACUAUGCCCUGAGUACAUAUGAAGAAGCUUUAAAAAACAGAGAGAACAUUGUUUCCAUCACUCAACAACAAAAUGAGGAACUGGCUACUCAACUGCAACAAGCUCUGACAGAGCGAGCAAAUAUGGAAUUACAACUUCAACAUGCCAUAGAGGCCUCCCAAGUAACCAAUGAAAAAGUUCAAAAGUUGGAAAGGCUGGUGGAUGUACUGAGAAAGAAGGUUGGAACCGGGACCAUGAGGACAGUGAUCUGAUUGAAAAAAAACGACAGUCUGGGGAAGCGAUCACAUCUGGUGACCAGGCUGCUUCAUUCAACACUGUGUAAACACUAAAGCCUUAACUUAGCAAACAGUUGUUAGAAGUGGGACACUCCAACCACAUUCCAAGCUGAGAUAAAAUCAAAUCACAAAUGUUUAACCACUUUGCUGCUGACUUGAGUUAUUUAUCCAAAUAUAUUAACUACAGACUUUUACCAAUGCGUAGCUAUAAGGUUACAGCUUAUUUUGUAACUAUUUUAUAUCUCAAUAUCUUUAAUAUAAAUCUUUUUACUGAGAGAUCAUUAUAGAAACAUGUUAAAGUUGGUUAGUAUCAUAUCUUCACAUGUGGCCCUUUCUGAAUCAAAGUGCAGCAAAGUAAAUAUUGUCUAAGCUUUAAUCCACUGUGUUAGGUCAAAACUUCAAAUACAUGCAUUUUUCAAUAUUUCUUAACUGAUGAGAGAGGCCUAAACAUGAGUGUGUAGUCUUCCUUCAAUGCAUGUAUGUAAUCUUUGUUAGUAUUAAAAGAUAUUAAAUAUAGAUGCCAUGAAUUAAAUGUAUAAUUUGUUUAAUAAGAGAUGGAUAUAUUAAAAUUACAUUCAUCAAGGCAUGAUUUUUGUUUCACUGUAAAUAAUGCAAACUGUUUCAAUAAAAAGAGCAGACUGUUAAUGUGUACUUAUAAAUUCACAUUGUCAGUAUUUUUUAAUGUUGGGUCUGAAUAAUUAUCUAAAUUCUACUUAAGCUAUAAAUCUCUGUCAUUUUUGCUUGAAAAUUAGCAUGCCUCUGUCUUAAAAGAACAGAGACCAUCAAACCUGUUAAGUGUUCUUAUUGUUUAUCUUUUUUUAAUUGCCAUUUGAUUUUUGUUGUGGAGGAGGGGGAUCUAAUACAUAAUAUACAAUAAAAUUAUAAUGUAGAAAUAUAAGAAUUCAGAAAAAAGUAAACUUGCCAUUUGGUUGAGGUUACCUGCUUUUUAUUUUAUUUCAGAAAUAAGAUCAUUACAGCAUAGCAGUCAUAUGAAGUUAUGAAUAGAACUGAGAUUUUUAUGUAAUUAGCUAUAAAGAAAAUACUUUCAUAUUUUUAGAUGAGACAGAUGAAAGACCAAGAGGAAAUGACUGUGCCUGGAACAGAAUGAAAUAGACAAGUUGCGAUUUAAUUAGUGAAAAUUUUGUAGGCAAGUAAAAUUUUUUUCUAAGUCUAUAUAUUCUUAAUUCAUCUUUAAGAUUGGGCUAAAUUAUCUACCAUUGCCUAUUUACAGGAUAAGUACAUUCAGGACAAUUUAUUUCUCCAUUCUUUCAUAUACUAUAGUAGAUUAUCCAUUUGAAUUUUGUUUUACUCCACAGGAAAAUGUAAGCUACUUUGUCAUAGGUGACAAAAGAAUCAUAGUACUAACAAACUCUAUUUCUUCCUUAUUAAAUCUGUAUCCAUUGAAGUACCUUUUUUAACUAUGAGAAUUAGAAAAUAAGGGACAACAGAGGUUAAAACAAACUAGUUUAAUUUGCUCUAUAGUCCUAAAGAUAAUUAUAUCCUCUCAUAGACCAAUGACUCUAUAAUAGAGAAAUAUGUAAUGAUUUAGUCAUGCAUGCAGUUUUUGUCUCUGGGCUCUAUUUGAAACGUGUAACAGCUCCCUAUGUGAAGAAAGAGCAUCUUUAAAGUCAUCUGGGAGGUGCAGGUAAGUAAUGAGAAAGUUUUUGUCAUGAAAUAGUCCAUUCCUGAUCUCACUUAAAAUAAGUCACAAGUAAACUUGAAUUUUCAGUUUAAUCCUGAAAACAGAUGAACUUUUCUUGAGUUAUUUUGUCUGAGUUUUUAGAAGACACAAAAUAUAGUAUAAACACAUUUCACGAUUUCCAAACAAAUAUUUCUACACUUAAAUGAUCAAAUUAGAAUAACCAAUUCCUAUAAUUAAGAUGUGGAACUUUUAUAGAAUAUGAUAUUAUAAAGUUAAAUUUGCAAAAUAAUUGUAACAUCCACUGUUGUUCAGUAUAGGUAAUCUCCCAAAAAUAUCACAUCCUCUUGAAAAUGAGUUGUCUACAAAAUUUCAAGUUCAAAGUAUUACAGCCAAAUAUUAUCUUAAUUUCUUACACUUAAAAGUGUCCAUCAACAGUGUGUCAGAUGGUCUUUAUAUAUUUUUUCUGUAUGAAUGAAUAGCCUUGCCUACUGAAGAUAGGUUCUCUAUAUAUUCAACAAUAAUGCAACUUUAGAAGUAUUCCACACUGCUGAGAAAUGUUGCUUUGAGUUUGUUUUAUACAUCAUCUACUAAAUCCUAUAGUAAUAUGAGAAUUUACUUCUUCUUGUAAAAAUAAGUAACUUAGAGGAAAGGCAGAAAUGCUAAUACUAACAUUUGUAGCACUUGAUUUACAAAGUCGUUUUACAUCUGUUUUUCUUUUCAUUUGAUCCUAUCAACAAUCAUAAUAAUAAUAAAUUAUAUAUAACCCAUAUAAUAAUGAUGAUGAUGAUGAUAAUUUUAGUAUUACUGUCAUUAUAAUUAUUAUUAUAUUCAUUCUACAGAUGAGGAAACAGACUCAGUAAGUCUUGAAAUUUGCCAAGGACUGGCUGGGACCUGGAACUAAGAUCUUAUAACCACAUUCCAUGUAACUAUGAGUCUGUAAAUCUCUCUGUAAGAAAAAAAUUUCAAAGUAAAGAUUUUAACUCUUGCAAUUUAUGUUGUUAUAGUACCAUUUCUUUCACAUACUACAUACGAAUUCCUUAGUAAUCAAAAGAUUGUACACAUUUCUUUCAAUGAAGUACAAUAAUGUGAAUUGCAUGUGUAAACAGCAUCACAUUAUUACCACUUCUCUGUGGUAUUAUAGUGGCAGUAUGCUUUGCCUCAGCCUUCACUAAUUAGGAAUAUUGUGACAAUUCAUUCCUAAUAAAACAUAUCAUGAGUCUCUUUGUACUAUUUUUAAUUUGGCCUGAUGCUAAAACCUGUCAGCUUAGUUUUAUAACAUGGUAGUCUAAACUUCAAGCCUUGCUGUAUCUCCUAGAGCAAUUUAGAGCUAAAACCAGUUAUAAGCAAAGUUAUUGGUUAUAAGCAAGGUAUAAGCAGUUAAAGCAAAGUUAUUAAUUAUUAAUAUAUGAGAAUUUAAAAUUUUAUAAAUAAGUUAGAAAUUAUUAAUGUAUUUUAAAUACUUUAUGCAAUAAAAUAUUUUGCUUAUUUUUUCAAUGAUAAAGUUGAUCCUUUGUAUAUUUCCUUAUUCAAAUAAACUCAGUCCUAUCAUCUUAUCAGGUCACUUAUUUAUAUAAUUAGUUUAUUUUAUUAAAAAGCUAGAAUAUUAAAGUGUAUACUUUUAAUAUUGAAUAUAGUUUCAUAGAAAAACAUUUUAUAUGUACUAUUCUUAAAGAUCACAAUUAUUUUUAAAGUUUCUAGUUUCAAAUAGUUGUGAUUAAUAAGGCAUUGUAUGAUGAAAUAGCCAUGGCUCAUACAUUUUUGUCUUUUCACAUAUGAUGUGUUUGGAACCCACAUUUUUUACUGAUUUUAUUGUGUUGUUGGUAACUAGUAUUUACAGCUAACCUAUCUAUUCAUAUUUUACAUAUAUAUGCAUGCACACACACUGAUACAUUUACCUUUUUAAAAAAUCAUUUAUAAAUGAACUGUUAGGCUCCAGUGAUUUCAGUAUUUUGUUCAUGUUUUAUUGGAAAUGCACGUGGUUUCUUAGGCUUUUAAACAAAUACAUGGAAUGGUUGAGAGAUUUAUUUUGCUCGUGCUUAGCUAAAUAUGUCAUCUCUAGAAAAGAUGUGGUUUGUUUUGGCACUGUUUUAAAAACUCAAAUAUUUUAAGCAUUUGUUAAGUUGGAGCUUGCACAUUUAAACUAGCAGCAUACGUUCCAGAAGAGCAUCUCAAGUUACCAAAUUUUUUGUACUCCUUUUACUAGAAUAAUCUUUUUUGAAAAGGUUUUCUUGUGCUCGCUUCGGCAGCAUAUAUACUGAAAUUAGAAAAAAAAAACUUUUUUAUUACAUGUUUUAGCGUAAGUUAAGUUAAACUUCUAAAAGUUGAAUUAUUUAAUGUAGGACUUCAUAAAUAGAAUUUGACAAUGAUAAAUGUGUAUUUUUGAGAAUCAUUAAAAUAUUGUAUAUAAUGAUAUUCCUUUGCAGAAGUCUUUAUAUGCUUAAUUUUUAAUCUAAUUGUCUUCUAAAUAUAGUUUUGGUGUAUGCUAGUAUUUUAGAAGCCACCAAUUUCUGGACUAUCUGAUUAUUAACAAAGAUGUAUUUUAAUGCACAAGCCCAAAUGUCUAAAAUAUAUAUUUACUUUGUAUUCAAAUAAAAUCCCCUAUUGCAAAUCCUA